rnacentral:pre_miRNA from 1 species
UUAACAAUAUUCGAACCGUCGGUCUACCGAGCAAUUUCAUCCGCUCGAUGGAAGAUCUUCCCUUUGUCGUUAUU